CUCGUCCAUGUGAUAUAUGUGGACCAAUCGCCAGGUUGUCCCACACUAUAUAAAGCAACCGACAGCGCAUUAUCAAUCUCUUCAAUUCCAGCUAAGUAACAGCUAUGGCCCGUUAUCUUCUGAACAAACCCUAGACGUGGAUGAUGAACAAAUGGUUAUGCAGAAGGAUUACAAUGUCAAUCUGCAGGGACUUCAAAGGCCUGGAUGAGAAUGAAGUGGUGGGCAUUCUGAUGGGAGGUGUACAACCUUUGCACAGACCAGUGGGAUUGAAAAUUAACCACGGGACAUUCUAAAG
rnacentral:lncRNA from 1 species